rnacentral:rRNA from 1 species
UAUUGCACAAUGGGGGAAACCCUGAUGCAGCGACGCCGCGUGAAGGAAGAAGUAUUUCGGUAUGUAAACUUCUAUCAUCAGGGAAGAAAAUGACGGUACCUGACUCAUAAGCCCCGGCUAACUACGUGCCAGCAGCCGCGGUAAUACGUAGGGGGCAAGCGUUAUCCGGAAUUACUGGGUGUAAAGGGAGCGUAGGCGGUGAUGCAAGUCAGAAGUGAAAACCCGUAGCUCAACUGCGGGACUGCUUUUGAAACUGUAUGACUAGAUUGCAGGAGAGGUAAGUGGAAUUCCUAGUGUAGCGGUGAAAUGCGUAGAUAUUAGGAGGAACACCAGUGGCGAAGGCGGCUUACUGGACUGUAAAUGACGCUGAGGCUCGAAAGCGUGGGGAGCAAACAGG